ACUGAUUUAGUUUAAUUAGAAUGUUGAUUUGUCGUGUCAGAGGAAGUAUUAUAUAUUAUUCAGUU
rnacentral:tRNA from 1 species